AAUUAAAAAGUCCAUGGGGGU
rnacentral:misc_RNA from 1 species